rnacentral:rRNA from 1 species
CUGGCCGUAAACGAUGGGUACUAGGUGUAGGAGGUAUCGACCCCUUCUGUGCCGGAGUUAACGCAAUAAGUACCCCGCCUGGGGAGUACGACCGCAAGGUUUAAACUCAAAGGAAUUGACGGGGGCCCGCACAAGCGGUGGAGUAUGUGGUUUAAUUCGACGCAACGCGAAGAACCUUACCAGGGCUUGACAUUGAGUGAAAGUUCUAGAGAUAGAACCCUCUCUUCGGAGACACGAAAACAGGUGG